AAUUUGUAUUCUUUGUACAUCAAGCUUUCUUCUAACUUUUAAUCUGACAGGUCUCCACCUGUAAAAGUAGGUGCCUGCAGGGCAUUUGCUCAACUUCUACCUAAAGCAAAGAAAGUAAUUGUCCAACCACAGUUAUUCGGUUUAUUUUCAUCCCUCACGGAUCUUCUUAAUCAUGCAUCAUAUGGUUUCCUUGCAUACGGUACUUGAAACGUUGCAAGAAGCCGUAAAUGCAGGUUAGGAAUAUCUUUCUCUGGUGUGUGUGUCUGUAUUUCUGGUCUAGUUAUACUUCCACACAUAUAUGUUAAUGUUAAAUAUUUCUAUGGAAAUUACUAAUUUACUCUUCUAUCCCCACACAAUUGACUUUAUUUUUUUUUUCUUUUUUGUGAUACAAAUAACUGUUUGGUUCAAAUGCUCACUGAGAAAUUUCGCAUUUUCAUUCAAUAACCAAGAGGCUGUUUUUUCUCAAUCUAAACCUAUUGCUACAUCAGUAAAGGAUGGUUUUAAUGUCUGUAUAUUUGCUUAUGGGCAAACUGGAACUAGUAAAACAUUUACAAUGGAGGGAACACCAGAAGAGAGGGGAGUUAAUUACCGAACACUUGAAGAAUUGUUUAGGAUAUCCGAAGAGAGAAAGGGUGUAAUGAAGUAUGACUUACAUGUUAGUAUGUUGGAGGUUUACAAUGAGAAGAUAAGAGAUCUUCUAGUGGAAAACUCUACCCAGCCUACUAAGAAAUUAGCUGAAGCACUUGAUAUGCAGCCUCCUGUAAUUCUGGAGGAUGGCCACACAACAAGGGUAACUAGUGGUGAGGAGGCUGUUUCUUCUGCUGCCGGGUAAGAUUCUGUUGUUGAACCCAUAUGGGAUGAUGAAGACACAAGGGCUUUUAAUGAAUGUUUACCGGAUCUUAGAUGGAACUUUAUCCUGCUUGCUUUUCUCCAGAGCUUUUGUUCCUGCCGUGCUUUUGAGCAACCUGUGAAGGGUCAAGACCAUAUAAGUUCAUAUAGCUGCUGAUUACCUAGUUGACGAAGCUACAAAUAUGCAGAUUAUAUAGGUUUGCUAUGCCGCAUAGCUCAAGGUUGCAGGUACUGUGCUUUCGGAUCAUCAAUCAUCUAUCCUUGUGAAGAUUAAAGAUGACAUGCAUCUGUCAAGCCCAUCACACCAUUGGAGCAAUGUGAAUGGCUGAAUAAAUCGUUGACAGAAAUCUGGCCCAACUAUUUUAACCCCAUGCUUUCAUCAAGGUUAUCAUCUAUAGUUGAGUCACAUUUAAAGCUCCGGAGACAACGAUUUCUUGGUCUAGCAAUUAUUGCCUUCAAUGAUGGAAAAUUUAAUGCCAAGACCUUGUGAGAGGUUCUUAGUCUUGGACCACACAUAUAGGCACACAAGAACAUAUAGGCAUAUAAGUCAAGAACAAUUUCAUAUGUGGGUGAGUGGAUAGUGUUGC